UUUGACAUGGCUACAGAUUCUUUUUACGGAACAAGAAGAUAUAACCAAUAGACAUGAUCUGUAAUGAGGCUAUAGAUUACUACCAGACUCAAAGCAACUUAGGUCGGGAAUCUGGGCUCUCAAGCUUGCUGAACGCGAAGGGCGAGGGGGGUGGGCACCUUUUCAUUCUCCGGCAACUCUCUAAUCAUUGACAUCCUGCUUGAGUGAGGUAUUAGCAAUAGCCCCUCCACCUGCUUAUGGCUACAAUGAAGAGUGGGGGAGGAAGGAGAUUAUUAUAACAGUGGGAUGAGGCAUGGUUCCCCGACGUUAGGCAUGGUUGAAGCUCUGGACGCCACGAGGGCCACUACAGUCACUGCCGUAGGAAGCGCACACUACCGCCAAGGAGAUGGAUAAGAAGGCCGCCACUACUGCAAAGCUAGCCGCCAUCGCUAUGGACAAGGUGGGAUUUGUCGUCAUUGUUGUGGCCAGUGUCGUCGCUGAGGAAGCCAAUGUGUUGGACUCAGUGGCACAUCGCUAUUUGGCUGUGAACUUAUGAUGUAUGAACAUUGCUAUGAGUGUAACCUGUGCUGAUGCUUUGUUGUGAAAUUUAUCUAAGAAUUGGAGAUCAGUUCCAGUUAUGUGUCUGUGUGCCUUUUUUUAUCAAAUUAGCAUUGUGUUGUUGUGUGGUCAUAGACACAAAACUAACAGCAGCACAAGUUGGUGUACCUGCUGUGUGUUGUUUGAGGCAAUUUGUGUUGCU